UACAGAGGGUGCGAGCGUUGUCCGGAAUCACUGGGCGUAAAGGGCGCGUAGGCGGCUCGGUCAGCGUGCGGUGAAAGCCCGGGGCUCAACCCCGGGUCGGCCGUGCGAACUGCUGGGCUGGAGCACUGUAGAGGCAGGUGGAAUUCCGGGUGUAGCGGUGGAAUGCGUAGAGAUCCGGAAGAACACCGGUGGCGAAGGCGGCCUGCUGGGCGAGUAGCUGACGCUGAUGCGCGACAGCGUGGGGAGCAAACAGG
rnacentral:rRNA from 1 species